rnacentral:lncRNA from 1 species
UUUAAGAAGACAGGUUGUUGGUUCUCUUGCACAGUUCAGUGAUUGUCAGGAUAGGAGGUUGUAAAAGCCUGUUUCCCGCGUUAUUUCCUUUCGUAGCCGCAAUUCCCUUGCAAAACAUCUUUACAUUUCAAAGCCCAUUUUUUAACCUGUAAAUUGCAUUUAAUAAUAUCCCUCUACCUAUAGCUUUCCCUCCCCCCCCCCCCAUUCCCCAUGCUACCAUGCUUGCCCACACUCUUGGCUGCUAUUGCCACACUGUUGUAUUGCUCCUACACUGGAAUUAACCGGUAGAUAUCUCUGCUGCCUCCAACCUACCGCAGAUACCCCAUAAUCAGUGUGGACCAUGCGAGGCUUCUACUGUGCCUACCCAGAAUUGACUCAGGUGUCUGGCGACUUUGUAGUGUUACCUCUUCGUUGAAAUACAAAAGCAAUUUCUACCUACUUUUUUUCUUUCCUAGGCAGUUGAUGCUUUUCUCGUCAUUUAAAUAAAUAAAUGCACAUUAAGCAGGUAGAACGAUGACAGGCACACAGUUAAGGCUCUGGAACUGUUAGUGUUAACAGUAUUAGCAGCCCCACCCCACCCCCGCCGCCAGGCCUACCAUAGGAAAUAUU